rnacentral:lncRNA from 1 species
GGGUGAGGCAGGGGUGGGGCUCCUUCAGUAGCUCAGUCCAGUGCGCAGCCCUGCAAGGGUCCUCCUGUGCAGGAGUACACAAUGCGGCCGGAGUCCUACUGUGCCUUAGUCCAGGACGCCGGGUGCUGGGUCCUCCGGUGCCGUUGUCCAGGGCCCGGGGAGCUGGGUUCUCUGAUGCCGUAGUCCAGGGCGCGGCGGAACAGGAGUCCCGUGGCGCAGUAGUCCAGGGCGCGCUGGACUGUGGAUCCUCAGGUGUCACAGUGCAGAGCGCCACAGGGCGGAAUUCCUGCCUUGCUAUAUCCAGGGUGCAGCCGAGCGGGGGUUCUCUUGUGCAGGAGUCCAGGAUGGGACUGUGAAGGAGCGGGAGUCCUCCGUGUAGGAGUCCUGGGGUGUAGGAGGCCAGAGCGCAGUGAGGCUGGGUACUCUCAUGCCAUAGAGUAGGGCAUGGCGGGACAGGGAUCCUGCCCUGAGAUAGUCCAGUGCUUGAGUCCACAGUAAUGCAAUGGUCCUCCAAUACUGGAGUUCACGGCCUGGUGGGGUCGGGGUCAUUGCCUGACUUAGUUCAGGGCAUACCAGGGCGGGGGUCCACAGUUGCCACAGUGAGGACCUCCGAGGAGUGUGGUUCCUGCCUUGCUGUAGUCGGGGGAACAGGGGGCAGGAGUCCUCUCUUGUCAGAGUCUCUGGCACGGUGGGGCUGGGGGUUUUCCUAUUCGAUAGCCCACGGGGCGGUGAGGCUGGGUCCUCCUGUGCCUUUGUCCAGGGCGCAGGGGGGCCAGGGUCUUCGGUGGUGCAGUCCGUGGAGCGACGGGAUUGGGGUCCUCCAGUGCUGGAAUACAGCCCAUGACGGGGGUCCAUGGAGCCACCGGUCGGGGUCCUCCCGUGUUUUAGCCUAGGGCUGGGAGAGGACGGGGUCCUCCUUUGCCCUAGUCCACGGCAUUGUGAGGCCCGGCUCCUGAACACUUACUGUCUGUGCCACUACCGCCGCGGGGGAAAACUACACCAUCUCAGGCAAGCCUAACAGAGCAGCUGUCCUUAAAAGAUUCCCAGUUGAGCGUGGCUUGGAGCAGGCCUGAGAAGUGUGCCCUUAGAUGGCUUCAAGGGCUCUGAGCAGUGUUUAAGGAAUCCAGCUGACCUCAGUUACUCCAAGCCCUUUUCCACUCAGCAGAACUUCUCGCCAGGGGGUCCCCCAUCUGCGGAGCCCUUUCAUCAUACCAGAUCCCCACAGGGUGGACUCCCUCUCAUCCUCACGAUCUCAGCUCAGGCCUCAUUCAUCACCACAUUCCUGGCACCAGGUCUGGCCCAGAAGAAAUGGGUCAGAUUAAGAGCUCAAUGUGUUCCCAUGGUCACUUUUCUUCAGCCCUCCUUUCUUUGUGCCAACAUCUAUCUUUGGGUUUCUGGAUAAAGUUUUCAGCAGCUGCAUGCAGCUCCAUUUUUCUUACCAGGUAAGAGACUGUGCUUGAGUCUGCAGUAAGGCAAUGUUCCUCCAAUGCUGGGGGACUCCAAAAGUCUUCCUGAAAACAAAGGCACAAUGCUUGUGACCAGAGAACUCCCUGUCCUCUCCCUGCAUAGGAAAACUGGACUUCUCCGGAAGGCUCUAGUUCCUGGCAAAUCUCUAGGGCCACUUAAUUGCGCUGUCCCCCACCUUUGCUUCUGGUUCUGAAGGGACUGAAGUUGGGAAUCCUUUCUAAGUCUCUACACACGGAGCCCUUCUUUUGUGGGAAUGUUUU